GCGUGAGUGCGUGCGUGCGUGCGUUCGGCGCGCGGGGCGUGGGCGCGGCACCUGGGCCCGGGCACCGCCACCUAGGCCCUAGCUCCGACCAGUGGUGUUCUAUAAACGCUUAUUACAUCAUUGUGCAUAGGCUUCAUUUUUAAAAGUACUCCCAAAUAAAUACAAGGAGGCGAUGGAAAUUGAAUGAAGAUUCGAAGGAUUCCCAUAGAGCGUGGCUCACUUCCCCUCACCGGGACAGCGAGCGGCGGCUCACCUGGGAGAGCAAAGCGUGGCUCUCCUGCGCCCACCCGGGAGAGCAAACAAUGGCUCACCUGCGCCCACCCGGGAGAGCAAGCGUGGCUCACCUGCGCCCACUCGGGAAAGCCAGCCGCCAUCCUGUGCUGCAGUCUGCGCUCCAUACAGCACGUGAGCGGGUGCUCAGCAAUGUUCCCUGGCUGAAAGAACCGCAUAGAGUAGCAUGCAAAAAUGACAUGCAUGUUUAAGAUAAAAUAAGGGAGAGGACACCUGUUCUGACUGAGUCUGGCAACUCAGAUCUCCCCGCAGCCAACAUCUACAUUCCUUUGGACAGCUGUCUGCUGUGUAGGGACACCUCCCUGGAACUUUGAAAAGCACCCCAUCAUUACCUUCCACUUUGUUCUGGAGCAAGGUUUCAAAAGAAGAGUGCCGUAUUUUGAUUAAUUUAGUGAAUUGGAUUUUCAGACACAAGUAAGAGCAUCCACUCAGUGGCCUCUGCAGUAAAUAAUGAUAUCAGAUCACAUAACAAGAAGACUGGAGGUUGGCGGGAAAUCUGGACCUGGUGACUCAAAGAAGUCAUGAAGGACCAUCUCUCCAUUCUGCCACCUUCUCGCCUGUGGAUUUUCCUCCCCAGGCUUGUCACUUCAUUGUCGAGAGAUGCCCUCACAAUCCAAGCCAGGCAGCCUCACAUGACCAGAUCUAAAACACAAAGAGGGAGCCAAACUGAGAAAGGACCUUUUCCCUCUGAACACUUCUCUCUUGGAAAAAGAAAAUGUUUCCCAGAAAGCCUCAUAGCCUUCCUCUUAUAUCUCCUUGACUAACUGGGACCCGGAUCCCUGGAUAUCCUUUCCUGAGAAAGAGAGGGUCUGGGGCAGGGGAUAGAGAAAAUGACUAGCAACUAGCAGCACAUGAUGUUUAAACAUAAGAUUUAAAGAAAUGCAAGGCACAAACAAUUUGAAGACUUUUUUUAAGUUUUUAAAAUCUUCACAAAAUAAAAAGGAAUUGGACAAUGCACUUUAAAAACUAGAAGACGUUUCACUGAAAACAGCAUCUCCUAAUUCAUUUCAUGGCUUAGAUAGUAAUAGAAAAUUAUUUUAUUCUAAUUCCAUACUUUAUCAACUAAUUUUAAUUAUUUUAUAAUUACCCAAAAUAUGUCAUGUAGAAUGAAAAUAAAAGAAAAUGAAAACAGUUAUAUCAAGGCCAAGUCAGUUGUAUGUUUACUGGCUAUUUAGAAAUUUCUAAAUACGUGUAUAUUUAGAAAUGACUAUAUAGAUACUAUUUGGGUAAUGUUAGGGAUGGAAAGUUUAUGUCCCCCCAAAAUUUGUAUGUUGAAAUCCUAAGCCCAAUGUGAUGGUUUUAAGGGGCGGGGCCUUUGUGAGGUGAUUAGGUCAUGAGAGUGGAGACUUCAUGGAUGAGAAUAGUAAGUAUCCUUAUAAAAGAGACUCCAGAGGCUGGGUGCAGUGUCUCAUGCCUGUAAUCCCAGCACUUUGGGAGGCCGAGGCAGGUGGAUCGCCUGGGGUCAGGAGUUCGAGACCAGCCUGGCCAACAUGGCAAAACCCUGUCUCUACUAAAAAUACAAAAAUUAGCCAGGUGUUGUGGUGGGCACCUGUAAUCCCAGCUACUUAGGAGGCUGAGGCCUGAGAAUUGCUUGAACCCAGGAGGUGGAGGUUGCAGUGAACUGAGAUCGCGCCACUGCACUCCAGCCUGGGGGACGGAGUGAGACUGUCUCCAAAAAAUAAAAUACAAUAAAAGAGACUCCAAAGAACUUUCUAGCCCUCUUGCCACCACCUAAGGAUGCAAAGAGUUGACAGCAACCUGGAAGAGCCCUCACCAGAACUCGACCAUUCUGGCACUCUGACUUCCAGCCUCCACUCACCUGAAACGGGGUAGAGCAGAGAUUGAAGGAAACAUUUGCUUGGGUCGUCAUUUUCCUCAAGGACUGCGCUACCAAUUGGAGUCAACACUUCUAGGUGCCUCCAGUUUGGUACAGUAUGUAAGGGGUUGAAUUGCAUCCCCCAAACAGAUAUGUUGAAGCCCUAACCCCUGGCACCUGUGAAUGUGGCCUUAUUUGGAAAGAGGGUUGUUACAGCCAUAAUCCAGUUAAGAUGAGGUCCUUCUGGAUUAGGGUGGGCCCUCAUCUGAUUGAUUGGUGUCCUUAUAAAGAAAAGGAAAAGAGUCACAGAGGGAAGAAGGCCAUGUGAAGAUGGGGGCAGAGAUUGGAGUGAUGCUGUCACAAGCCAAGGAAUGUCUGGGUUACCAACAGCUGGACUUUGUAGACAGCAUGGCCCUGCCAACACCUCGAUUUCAGUUUCUGCCUCCAGAACUGUGAGAGAACACGUUUAUGUUAUUUGAAGACACUGAGACUGCCGUCCAUUGUUCCAGCAGCCACAGGAAACGAAUGCCCUGCAUUCUUACAGCACUGCGGCAGGGGUGGAGUGAUUAAGAGCAGGGGCUAUGGAGUCAGCUUUCCAGGGUUCAAGUCCUAGCUCCACUGCUCAGGAGCCACUACUGAGAAUUGUUCAGAAUCAACCCAGCUGAGGUCUGAAGAUCAUUUAGACCGGAGCCUCGCCCACG
rnacentral:lncRNA from 10 species